GAUCACUUCAGUUCCAUCUACUUACUACAAAUGACGUAAUUUUGUUCAUCUUUAUGGCAGAAUAAAGCUCCAUUGUGUAUGUAUACUACAUUUUCUUUAUCUGUUCAUCUGUUGCUGAAUACCUAGAUUGAUUCCAUAGCCUGACUGUAGUGAAUUAUGCUUUGAUAAACAUGGGUAUGAAUGUAUCUCUUAUGUAUGCUGAUUUUAAUUCUUUUGGAUAAAUACCAGAGUGAUAUAGCUGGAUGAUACGGUACUUCUAUUUUUAGUUUUAUGAGACACCUCCAUACUGAUUUCCAUGUGGGCUGUAGUAAUUUAUAUUCCCACCAAUGGAGUAUAGAGUAUAAGAAAGUUCCUUUAUCCCAGUGCCCUCUCUAGCACAGAUGUGAAAAUGUUAAAAUGCUACUGUUCUUGUGAACCUUCUUUCACGGGAGGUGUAUUAGUCAUAUUUCUGUUACCGUAACAAGAUACCUGAGACGAUAAGAAAGAUUUAUUUUGGCUUACCGUUUUGGAGGCUUCAGUCCAUGACAGAUUUGCCCUGUUGCUUUUGUCCUGUGGUAGAGCAGUAUAUCAUGGCAGGAGUGUUGGCAGUGUUUGGCAGCUCAUCUCAUGAUGGCCAAGAACAAAAGAAGGUGCUGGGGAUUUUCCAAGGGCAUGUCCGCAAUGACCUAACUUCCUCCCACUAAACUCUACCUCUUAAAGGUUCUACCACCUUCCAAUAGCACAUGGCUGGGGACCAAGCCUUUAACACAUGAGCCAUUGAGGGACAUUUAAGGAGGGGAUGCCCUUAUAAACUCAUUUCGUUAUUUUUGCCUACUUGAUGUUUUUCAUUAUAUAUUAAUAAAUUGAUAUUCUGGUAUAUUAGAAAUGGUGAUGCUUUCAGGUAUCUUACUGAACAUUAUAAAUGCUACAUAUUUUCUCUUGCAUGAUUAUUGGCCAACUUUUCUUUGUAUAAGAAAGCAGAAAAAAUACUCUUAGUUACAUGAGCAGGUAGGAAGCCCUUCUCCCAUCCUAUAGGAGAAAAACAGAUGUGAAUUUUUUUGACUGUUGCAUAUUAUACAUUGAAUUUCAUUGUGGCCUAUUGGUACAAACCUGCAACAUCAUUUGAUCAAUUUUACUCCCAGGUACCUCCCUUCCUCCCAAACCCAGAUCCCCCCCAUCCUAUUGGUCUCCC
rnacentral:lncRNA from 1 species